rnacentral:tRNA from 1 species
GCUGCUGUAGCUCAGUCGGUAGAGCGCGUCCUUGGUAAGGACGAGGUCACGAGUUCGAAUCUCGUCAGCAGCU